CCCAAGAGACGUGGGAAUAACCACCGUAGGAAACAGAUGCUAAUACCGGAUAACAACACUAGACGCAUGUCUAGAGUUUGGAAAGAUGGUUCUGCUAUCACUCUUGGAUGGACCUGCGGUGCAUUAGCUAGUUGGUAAGGUAACGGCUUACCAAGGCAAUGAUGCAUAGCCGAGUUGAGAGACUGAUCGGCCACAUUGGGACUGAGACACGGCCCAAACUCCUACGGGAGGCAGCAGUAGGGAAUCUUCCACAAUGGACGAAAGUCUGAUGGAGCAACGCCGCGUGAGUGAAGAAGGGUUUCGGCUCGUAAAGCUCUGUUGGUAGUGAAGAAAGAUAGAGGUAGUAACUGGCCUUUAUUUGACGGUAAUUACUUAGAAAGUCACGGCUAACUACGUGCC
rnacentral:rRNA from 1 species